ACAGCAUGGUGGGGGCAUUUACGAAUGAGGUUCCUUAACCUUUCCCAUAUCUCAUGAAAAAGUUCACCAUCCAGUCGAAAAAAACUAGUGAUGACUUUUUUAAUUU